GGUCAUGAGUGUCAGCGUCAAGCCCCGGCUCGCUGGCCGGCAACCCUCCAACCGCGGUGGGGUGCCCCGGGUGAUGACCUGGUCUUCCGACUCGAGCCGGAAGACAAGCGCGGGUC
rnacentral:ncRNA from 2 species